UACGGAAGGCAGCAGUGGGGAAUAUUGCACAAUGGGCGAAAGCCUGAUGCAGCUAUGCCGCGUGUAUGAAGAAGGCCUUAGGGUUGUAAAGUACUUUUCAGCAGGGAGGAAGAAUAAAACUAAUAAUUUUAUUUUGUGACGUUACCUGAAGAAGAAGCACCGGCUAACUCCGUGCCAGCAGCCGCGGUAAUACGGAGGGUGCAAGCGUUAAUCAGAAUUACUGGGCGUAAAGAGCGCGUAGGUGGUUUUUUUAAGUCAGAUGUGAAAUCCCUAGGCUUAACCUAGGAACUGCAUUUUGAAACUGAAAACUAGAGUAUCGUAGAGGGAGGUAGAAUUCUAGGUGUAGCGGUGAAAUGCGUAGAUAUCUGGAGGAUACCUGUGGCGAAAGCGGCUCUAAACGAUACUGGACACUGAGUGCGAAAGCUGGGGAGCAAACAGGGAUUAGGAUACC
rnacentral:rRNA from 1 species